AGUGGCGGACGGGUGAGUAACGCGUAAGAAUCUAACUUCAGGACGGGGACAACAGUUGGAAACGACUGCUAAUACCCGAUGUGCCGCAAGGUGAAACCUAAUUGGCCUGGAGAAGAGCUUGCGUCUGAUUAGCUAGUUGGUGGGGUAAAGGCCUACCAAGGCGACGAUCAGUAGCUGGUCUGAGAGGAUGAGCAGCCACACUGGGACUGAGACACGGCCCAGACUCCUACGGGAGGCAGCAGUGGGGAAUUUUCCGCAAUGGGCGAAAGCCUGACGGAGCAACGCCGCGUGAGGGAGGAAGGUCUUUGGAUUGUAAACCUCUUUUCUCAAGGAAGAAGUUCUGACGGUACUUGAGGAAUCAGCCUCGGCUAACUCCGUGCCAGCAGCCGCGGUAAUACGGGGGAGGCAAGCGUUAUCCGGAAUUAUUGGGCGUAAAGCGUCCGCAGGUGGUCAGCCAAGUCUGCCGUCAAAUCAGGUUGCUUAACGACCUAAAGGCGGUGGAAACUGGCAGACUAGAGAGCAGUAGGGGUAGCAGGAAUUCCCAGUGUAGCGGUGAAAUGCGUAGAGAUUGGGAAGAACAUCGGUGGCGAAAGCGUGCUACUGGGCUGUAUCUGACACUCACGGACGAAAGCUAGGGGAGCGAAAGGGAUUAGAUACCCCUGUAGUCCUAGCCGUAAACGAUGGAUACUAGGCGUGGCUU
rnacentral:rRNA from 1 species